rnacentral:lncRNA from 1 species
CUUGGGGAGGCCGAGGCAGGUGGAUCACCUGAGGUCAGGAGUUCAAGACCAGCCUGGCCAACAUUGUGAAACCCCAUCUCUACUAAAAAUACAAAAAAUUAGCUGGGCGUGGUGGCACAUGUCUGUAAUUCCAGCUACUCGGGAGGCCGAGGUAGGAGAAUUGCUUGAACUCGGGAGGAUGAGGUGGGAGGAUUGCUGAAGCCCAAGGAAGUCAAGGUUGCAGUGAGCUGUGAGCACGCCCCUGCACUCCAGCCAGAGGGUGUGGUGUGUGGUGGUACACACCUGUAAUCCCAGCACUUCAGGAGGCUGAGGCGGGAGGAUCGCUUGAGCCCAGGAGUUCGAGACCAGCUGGGUCAACAAAGCGGGACCCCAUCUCAAAAUAUAAUAAAUAAAUAAGUGAAAUUAAAUUAGAAAGAAUGAGUGGUUUCUGACCGUGUGCCCUCAUUUCUGAAAAUGGCAUAGAUAAGAAUGCUCUCUCCAUGGCUCAUGCUUGCAAUCCCAGCACUUUAGAAAGUCAAGGUAGAAGGAUCACUUGAUGCCAGUUUGAGAGUCAAGGUGGAAGGAUCACUUGAUGCCAGUUUGAGAGUCAAGGUGGAAGGAUUACUUGAUGCCAGUUUGAGAGUCAAGGUGGAAGGAUUACUUGAUGCCAGUUUGAGACCAGUCUGAGCAACAUGGCAAGACCCCAUCUCUUAAAAUAAAAAAAUUAAUUAGCUGGGUGCAGUGGGCAGUGGGGCACACCUCUACUCCCAGCUACUCAGAAGGCUGAGGUGGGAGAAUCACUUGAGCCUGGGAGGUAGAGGCUGCAGUGAGCUGUGAUUGUGCCACUGCCCUUCAGCCUGGGUGACAGAGCAAGACCCCAGACUCUAAAAGAAAAAGACCAAAAAGAUUUCUGUUAGGAACAGAACAUAAUCUGAAAUGAUACAGAACUGUAUAAUAGCUCACUUAUUUCUCAGCUAGUCCUAUGAAACAAACAUUGCCAACGCCAAUUUCACGGGUGACAAAAUGGAAGCUUGGAGAAGUGAAGGAAGUUGCCCAAGGCCAUAUAGCUAGUGGAUGGCCGGGCUGGGACUCCAUCGCCAGGCCUGCAGCCCUUUCACUUCUGCCACACUCCCUAGGGAGUGAAAGCAGAGGGAGGCGUGUUUGUGUCCAAGGGCCCCUGUGGAGGACUCACCAUAGGAGGGUCUCAGGGGCCGUCUACUA